UGCUAAAGAUGACGACCGGCGAACGGGUGCGUAACGCGUAUAGAAUCUACCUCUUACUAAGGGAUAGCCCAGAGAAAUUUGGAUUAAUACCUUAUGGUAUGCAGACUUGGCAUCAAGACUGCAUUAAAGAUUACGGUAGGAGAUGACUAUGCGUCCUAUUAGCUAGAUGGUGUGGUAACGGCACACCAUGGCAACGAUAGGUAGGGGCCCUGAGAGGGGGAUCCCCCACACUGGUACUGAGACACGGACCAGACUCCUACGGGAGGCAGCAGUGAGGAAUAUUGGACAAUGGAGGCAACUCUGAUCCAGCCAUGCCGCGUGCAGGAAGACUGCCCUAUGGGUUGUAAACUGCUUUUAUACAGGAAGAAACACUGCUACGUGUAGCAGCUUGACGGUACUGUAAGAAUAAGGAUCGGCUAACUCCGUGCCAGCAGCCGCGGUAAUACGGAGGAUCCAAGCGUUAUCCGGAAUCAUUGGGUUUAAAGGGUCCGUAGGUGGAUAAUUAAGUCAGAGGUGAAAUCCUGCAGCUCCACUGUAGAAUUGCCUUUGAUACUGGUUAUCUUGAGUUAUUAUGAAGUAGUUGGAAUAUGUAGUGUAGCGGUGAAAUGCAUAGAUAUUACAUAGAAUACCAAUUGCGAAGGCAGAUUACU
rnacentral:rRNA from 1 species